AGAGUUUGAUCAUGGCUCAGGACGAACGCUGGCGGCGUGCCUAAUACAUGCAAGUGGAACGCAUGAUUGAUACCGGAGCUUGCUCCACCAUUAAUCAUGAGUCGCGAACGGGUGAGUAACGCGUAGGUAACCUACCUCAUAGCGGGGGAUAACUAUUGGAAACGAUAGCUAAUACCGCAUAACAGUAUUUAUCACAUGGUAAAUGCUUGAAAGGAGCAAUUGCUUCACUAUGAGAUGGACCUGCGUUGUAUUAGCUAGUUGGUGGGGUAACGGCUCACCAAGGCAUCGAUACAUAGCCGACCUGAGAGGGUGAUCGGCCACACUGGGACUGAGACACGGCCCAGACUCCUACGGGAGGCAGCAGUAGGGAAUCUUCGGCAAUGGGGGGAACCCUGACCGAGCAACGCCGCGUGAGUGAAGAAGGUUUUCGGAUCGUAAAGCUCUGUUGUAAGAGAAGAACGUGUGUGAGAGUGGAAAGUUCACACAGUGACGGUAACUUACCAGAAAGGGACGGCUAACUACGUGCCAGCAGCCGCGGUAAUACGUAGGUCCCGAGCGUUGUCCGGAUUUAUUGGGCGUAAAGCGAGCGCAGGCGGUUUGAUAAGUCUGAAGUAAAAGGCUGUGGCUUAACCAUAGUAUGCUUUGGAAACUGUCAAACUUGAGUGCAGAAGGGGAGAGUGGAAUUCCAUGUGUAGCGGUGAAAUGCGUAGAUAUAUGGAGGAACACCGGUGGCGAAAGCGGCUCUCUGGUCUGUAACUGACGCUGAGGCUCGAAAGCGUGGGGAGCAAACAGGAUUAGAUACCCUGGUAGUCCACGCCGUAAACGAUGAGUGCUAGGUGUUGGGUCCUUUCCGGGACUCAGUGCCGCAGCUAACGCAUUAAGCACUCCGCCUGGGGAGUACGACCGCAAGGUUGAAACUCAAAUGAAUUGACGG
rnacentral:rRNA from 1 species